rnacentral:misc_RNA from 1 species
ACAUAUUCAUCAGCCCAAGAAGUACCCCCAGUAUUCUUUUGUUGAUAUUCUGUUGCCCAAUCACUAGGUCCAGCAGCUGGCUUGACUUGAUUAUCAUCAAUAAUAAGUUCACCACGACUCAUCUUUGACACAAAUUGAAGAAACUUUGAAUUCUGAAAUUUAGGAUCAUUAUUUUGAGAAAGCGUGUGGGCAAGCAUACGAGUCUGUUCCAUUGCUGCUAAGUUUGGGACAUUCACACCUCUCAUUUGAUCCAUUGAUGCCAACUGUUGUUCCUGCUCAAAUUCUGAGGCCCAACCAUUAGCACCGUGCUGUCGUUCAAAUGCAUGAGCCCAAGCAUCAGGAUCACUACGAUCUAAUCUAUGCUGGUUAAAUUCUGCAAUCCAUCCAUCAGCUGCAUGAGGACCUGGUCUUAGACUACCUUGUGAUUCAUUCCAGUAAUCCUCUAGUUCUCGAAAUCUCCCAGGUAGAGGCCGCUUCACGUGGACAUCACUAUCAAUAUCUAACGAAGACAAUAAGGCAUUCACCUGUGCAUUAAUGAAAUCUUCACUUUUAUCAGCAAAAAAGUGUCGAGCCAUUAUGCUGCUACGAUCACGUAUGC